UUCAUUUUAAGAAAUAGGUUAAUCGUACGAUAACAAAUACGAGUAGUAGAUCCUAUUUGAUGAAAGAAAGCGAAGAAAAAUUGAUGAAAGAAAGCGAAGAAAAAAUAAAAUAAUUGCAAUCAAUAGUUGUAAUGAAUUAUUGGAUUAGAUUUCAAUCCAAACCUUGAUCUAGCUACAAGCAUGAGACUUUCUUUUUAAACAUGGAAAAAAAAAAGGAAAAAUUGUUAAUCAUUUAAUUCACAAAUAAUA
rnacentral:lncRNA from 1 species